rnacentral:misc_RNA from 1 species
GAGCAAUCUGUUACUCAUUCUCUAUCACUCGUUCACUUUUUAUUUAACCACCAAUGCUGUUCUUUUCUGCUAUUCUAUUCCCUUUGUUAUCAAAAGUCAUGGUUCGAGUCAUGAAAAUAAGAAGAUGACCCUUGAAAAGAGGGAAGCCUUCACUAAUUGAUGUUUUAAAAAAAGGUACAGAAUUUAGAUUGCACGUUAUUUGAACAUUUUAUUAAGAUUUUUUAAUGUCUCCAUAAAAGUUAGAAUUGUGAACUAGACUUACAGAGACGGCAAUCCGACCAAUGGU